GCGAUCUAAUUUAAUUUAGAAAUUUACCAGUAGCUGCUGCAUUUCCCACCCUAGGCUUAUUUUCGAGUCAAUAAGGUUUCCCAGUUUUUUGUGGUAAAAUUAGGGGCUUCGGCUUAUAUUCGGGUCGGCUUAUACUCGAGUAUAUACGGUAAUAUAUACAGAGACAACGUAGUCCCUACUUUUUCUCAGUAUGUUUCUUGACUGAGUUGGAAUUUCAGUGAAAUUCCAGCACAGUCAAUAUGAAUAUUUCUUUAAGAUAUUAGGGGAGGAGGAAGGUGCCAAUAAGUGUUCAAUUUCAGUUGUCACAGCUCGUCAUAGAGAUGCUUCUCAGUCAGGAAAACUUGUUGGUGCAGAAGGACCACCAAUGGUUCUCUAUUGAAAAGCAUUAGAUUGAUGGAGAUUAUAUUUUUAAAUGAAUUCACUAGAAGGAGCAACGGGGAAGUCCAGACUGGGAAGCUGUCAGGAUUACAGUAUGAUCCAGCAUGUAGAACUGUGUAACACAGGAGACUAUUAGGUAACGUAUACCGGGCCUUAGAAUGGCCGGACUAACGUACCAAAGAAUAGUCAGGAAUAGCCAAGGUCAGGGGACACAAAAAGGGACACAACGAUAAAGGAAAACCAGAGGUCAGGGAUACCAGAAAACAAGGAAGUCAAAAUAAAUGCCAAAAUCAAAUAACCAGAAUAAGGAACGUGCUGUCGGACAACCACUAGGGAAACCAUGACAGGGCAAUGAGGAAAGGUAAUUCUAAGCUUUUAUACCUGCUUUACCUUUCUGAUUGGCCGUGAUAGCUCUUUGACCCCAAAACAUGCGCGCAGUGCAUGCGCAACACCACGUGCAUGCCGUCAUCAGUUACGUAAGCAGCCGGCGUCCAUUAACAUACCGCAAGUGUCAUUCGUGCAGAUGCAUGGCCGCUGACCGCAAGGUGAGGAUGAAAAUGUUACAUUACCCACUACCUGAAGACCGCCCACCGAGCGGGCAGGACCAGGUUUAAGAGGAAACUUAACAUGAAAAUAGCGGAUCUUGCAGCCAGCAUGUAUAUCAGAGGCUGGAACCCAAGAACGGUGGGCCGGACCAUAACCCUUCCAAUCCACUAAGUACUGUAAAGUGCCCCGAGAAAACCUGGAAUCAAUUAUGGAAGAGCCCUCAUACUCCUCCUGUCCAGAAAUAACCAAGGGAGGAGGGGGAACACUUGGGACAGUAUAUUUAUUGCAAAUAAGAGGUUUGAGCAAAGAGACAAGAAAGGAGUUAGAAAUUUUCAAGGAGGCCGGAAGGGCCAGAGAGUACGAAACGGGAUUGAGCCUCCGAAGGACACAAAAAGGCCCAAGGAACCUAGGAGCAAAUUCCAUGCUAGGGAUUUUAAGCCUGAUGUUACGCAAAGAUAACCAAACCCUCUCACCCACUUGGUAAACAGGGUUGGCACCUCGCCGUUUACCAGCAUAAUGCUGGAAACAGCAGCAGUCCCCAGGGCGGAGUGAACUUUGACCCAGGCAUCACGAAUAGAGGCAAGACAGUCAUCCAAAGCGGGAAUAGCCAUGUCAGAAAAAAGUCGGGAGGACAGUAGGGUGCUGGACAGUAUUAACAAAAAAUGGGCUAUGCCCAGAGGAGUCAUGGUCAGCAUUGUUUCUAGCAAACUCGGCCCAUGGUAGAAAUUCGGACCACUUGUCUUGAGAGCUAUUAACAAAACAACGCAAAUAUAGUUCCAAAGACUGGUUAGCCCUCUCAGCCGUACCAUUAGUCUGGGGGUGAUAAGAGGUUGAAAAAGUCAAAAACUCAAUCCCCAAUUGCUUAUUAAAAGCCCUCCAGAACUGGGAUACAAACUGAGAGCCUCUAUCAGAUACAAUAUUGUGAGGAAUGCCAUGCAGACGGACAAUCUCACGUAUAAAGAUCAGUACCAGGUCUCGUGAUGACGGCAAUUUCUUGAGUGGGACAAAAUGAGCCAUUUUAGAAAAACGGUCAACAACCAUGAGAAUAGUGGUAUAGCCAUUAGAACUAGGAAGUUUGACAAUGAAAUCCAUGGACAAGUGGGACUCCAGUUUUUUAGGAUCCAUCUGAAACCCCAAGGCAGAAAUAUUAUAUCCUAAAAACUAUACUUCUGACUGAUCAAAGAUGCAUUUCUCUAAUUUACAAUUAGGUGAUUUUUCAAUAAGGUUUGCAAAACUUGUCUGACAUGAUCGUGGUGAGUUUGGAUGUCAGGGGAAUAAUUAAGGAUGUCAGCCAGAUAGACUAAGACAAACGAGUAAAUUAAUUAAUAAAAUCUUGGAAAACCGCGUGAGUGUUGCCAACCCGAAUGGCAUCACCAGAUACUCAUAGUUUCCACUUCUGGUAUUAAAUGCAGUCUUCCAUUCAUGGUUUUCCUUGAUUCUUACUAAAUUGUAAGCACUUCUAAGGUCAAGCUUAGUAAAUAUUUUAGCGCGUUGGAGCCUGUCAAACAACUUAGCAAUAAGAGGAAUGGGGUAGGCGUUCUUAAUGGUGACCUUGUUCAAUGCCCUGUAAUCGAUACAAUGGCGUAACUCACCAUCCUUUUUUGACACAAAAAAGAACCCUGCACCAGCAGGCAAGGAUGGUUUGCGUAUAUGGCCUUUACUCAGUGAGUCCUUAAUAUAUUCCUCCAUUAUUCUUCUUUCCUGUGGGGACAGAGCAUAAACUGCUCCCCUACAAGGCAUAGCGCCGGGUAGUAAGCUUAUGGAACAGUCAUAUGGUCUGUGGGGAGGCAAUACAUUGUACUGCGUCUUGCUAAAUACUUCCUUAAUGUCCUGGUAUUGUAUGGGAACUUCGGGAGUUUGAGGGGUAAUGGCGGGUAAUUCGUAGUAGCCACUCUCUUGGUGAUAUGUACUGUACACCUUCCCUCACAAUCCUUACCCCAUUCCAAUAUUUCCCCAUUAGCCCAAUCAAUAUUGCUAAACCAAGGAAAGCCUAAUAUGAUAGGACAGGAAGGGGAUGCAAUAACCUGAAAUGUAAUAUCUUCCUUGUGCAAGGCUCCAAUGGACAUACUAAUGGGUAAAGUUGUGUGAGUAGUUAAUGGUUGUGAGAGUGGUCUCCCAUCUAUGGCCUCUACAGCUAGAGGUGAUAGUCUCUCCUUGACAGGUAUAGCAUUACCCUUACCAAAUUGGACAUCAAUGAAAUUUCCAACAGCUUCUGAGUCCAUCAGAGCGUUGCAUGAAAAGAGAUAAUCGAAAUAUCAAGGAGAAAUCUAUAUUUAUUCUUUUCAGAGGACAUCUCCAUUACACCUGUCCCCUUUAAGGCGCUUAGGUGCGAUAGUUUUCCAGACGAAUGGGACAAUUGUUUCUCAUAUGUCCUCUACUACCGCAGUAUAGACAUAGACCUUCUUUUCUCCUAUAAUGUCUUUCGGCCUCUGACAGUCUAGUGAACCCCAACUGCAUGGGUUCAGGUUCGGACUGUGUAGGAAGGUCAGGAAUAACAGGUUUGAAGAAACGGGGUGCAUAGUCAUCCGUCUGGUCUUCUUUCUAGUAGCUUCUCUGCUUCUUAGUCUAUUGUCAAUUUGCAUAACAAAUGUGAUAAACUUGUUAAGUUUCUUGGGUAGAUCUUUGGCAGCAAUCUCAUCUAGCAUAUUUUCAUAUAUUCCGUUUUAAAAUGCAGAGAUUACCCACUGUUGGUCCAGUCUACCUCGGAAGCCAAGGCACGGAAUUCUAUGGCGUACUCCGAGAUAGACAGAUUCCUUUGUCUGAUGUGCAUCAGAGCAGUGGAGGAGUCUUCCUCCCUGCGUAAUGGUUCAAACGUAAGUUUAAAUUCCAUAAGGAAUUCCUGGUAAUUGUUUGCCACACUCCUAUUACUCUCCCAUGACAGAUUGGCCCAAGCUAAAGCUUUACUUUUUAUUUGGUUCAUCAGGUAACCAAUUUUAGCUCUGUGGGAAAGGAUCCCAGUGAGGACUCAAAAUGAUACUCCAUUUGGUUAAGGAAUCCCCGGCGUCCUUUAACAUGCCGCAAGCGUCAUUCGUGCAGAUGCAUGGCUGCUGAACGCAAGGUGAGGAUGAAUAUGUUACACAAGCCUCUCAAAUAAAGAGUUAAAGGAACGCAACACACUGCUCAAAUUUGAUGUUCUCAGCCACUCCAGUGCUCAUUGGGAGGCUACUGCGCAUGUGCAACAAAACUCCACGCCAAAUAAGCAUCUCCCCACAAAGAUGCAUUGAUUCAAUGCAUAUCUAUGAGAAACACUCAGCACCUCCAUCCAGUGCUGUCCCAGGAAACACUUCUAGUGGCGGCCUGUGUGACUGGGACACACUAUAAACACAUAUGUUGUAUUACAUACUUAGAACAAAAUGUUUCUUUACUAUAAAGUGAUUGUGUUGCUUAGACUGUCCCUCUAAACAUGUUACACAUUCACCAAAACUUGUAGCUAUGAAAUCAAAUGGUAGCUCUAAU
rnacentral:lncRNA from 1 species